UCUACUACGGGAGAGCGACUGGUUUGCCGUAUUCAAUACUACGUUACAUUUCAAGCAGGUAAUUAUACGUUUUUUUAUCGUAUGUAAUACUGUCAUUUCAUGUUUAUUUGAUUCUACCGUUAGCAGCUUUAUGGAUUAUUAGUAUAUUUGUUAAAGAUACCCGCUAAUUUGACCGAUUUUCAUGUUUGUUCAUUGAUAUGUCCUCCGUUGCCCAAGAAGAUGCUAGAACACACUACAAUGACUCAGCCGAUGUUUUCAUCCUGCUGCCGGACCCUGGUGGGGUGUACAUUUUGCGUGGAGGAAUGGAAAAGGACGUCAGAUCACUGCCUCAAGUGCAGGGAUGACCUGCCCAUUUAUACAGAGGUAGCUGGACUCUCUGCAGCACUGGACGCCUUGAAGUCCCUUCCCUAAAGAACACUAGGCUAGCUUGUUCGUUUAGAUGUUUUUUUUGAUGUUAUUAUGAUGUUCUAAUGUUUCGUGUUGUGUUAAU
rnacentral:lncRNA from 1 species